CACUAGCAUUGAAAAAUGCUAAAGUCAUAUUUAAGGCAUUUUUGACAUUUUAGAGGAUAAAAACACUUACAUCAAACAAUGCUAAACCAUACUAUUGUAAAAUUUUUUACAAUAGUGCUACAGUACAAUUCUAAACUUAGAAUUGUACUGUAGCACAAUGGUAAAAGGAAAAAAUAUAUUUUAUUCCCUCCGAAAUGAAACACUCCACUGUCACGGUACUUCAGUGCUCUUCUCUCUCUUCUUUGUUCUGUUUCUCAAUCAGCUCUCUCCUCUCUUCAGCUCUCUCCUCUCUUCAGACCCAAACGGCAUACUCCUCCCAACAUCACACACCAUGUGGAUUCGUUGAAGCUCAACUGAUUCACCCUCACCCAUCUCCAUUGCCGACGCUUCACACGGCGUCUCAUCUCAGACCCAUCUCCAAAUCCCUUUACCGAUUCACCCUCACCCUCAACCUCAACCGAUUUAAUCAGACCCAUCUCCAAAUCCCUUUACCGAUUCACCCUCACCCUCACUCAUCUCAUAAACCCAACACUCUAGAUAGUACCCAUUUAACUCUUCACUCCAUCACUCUCUCUUCAAACCGAUACUCAAGGUUCCACUAAGCUCCGCCGGUGUGGGGGAUUCAGCUCCAUCGAUGUUGGUGCUAACUGUAAGAUUCAACCUCAUCAACGAGGGGUUUUCGCUCUCUGGCACGGGAUUAGCAUCAUCAAAAAAUUUGCUCAGGUUCAUCUUCCAUACCAGUCACAGAAAAUGGUAAACAAGAGCGUCACUUGGUUGCAACAGUGGGAAAGUUCAGUGUGAUAUGAGACUUCCAGCAGGUGAAAAACAGUGCUCAUGCAUGCUACAGGAAUCAGCAAGGCCAUAAAAGCUGUUAUUGUUACAAGAUUGUGUUGAAGGAUGAGUCUAUUAUUGAGAGUCGGUUCAUGCAUGACAAGUUUGCCAUUAGUGACUCCCCAGAAGCUCCACUGGUGGUUGCUACCCCUAUGAAAGUUAGCUUUAUCAGCCUCUCCGGCAAGCGACAACAUUAAUAAAUUAUCUUUAUUUACAUAAUUGAGUUAUUUUCCAAGUUGUGUGCGUCCAAGGUUGCUUUCUUCUGUAUAUGGAUUUGUUUUUUUUUAGCUCUCUUGUAGUUGUUCUUGGCUUCUGCUUGUACUUAAAUGAAUUCUUUUCACUCUGUUAUAAAUUUUAAUAGUGUUUCUUGACU